GUCUAUGGCCAUACCACCCUGAACGCGCCAGAUCUUGUCUGAUCUCAGAAGCUAAGCAGGGUCGGACCUGGCUAAUACUUGGAUGGGAGAAGAGAGGCCUAGCUUGGUAAGGU
rnacentral:rRNA from 1 species